rnacentral:rRNA from 1 species
AGUGAACGCUGGCGGCGUGCUUAACACAUGCAAGUCGAACGAGAACGGAUUAUAGCUUGCUAUAAUUGUCAGCUAAGUGGCGCACGGGUGAGUAAUGUAUAGGUAAUAUGCCUUUUACUAAGGGAUAGCAAUUGGAAACGAUUGCUAAUACCUUAUAUUCCUUUUUAUCAAAAGAUAAAAAGGGAAAGAUUUAUUGGUAAGAGAUUAGCCUGUAUUGUAUCAGUUAGUUGGUGGGGUAAUGGCCUACCAAGACGAUGACGCAUAACUGGUUUGAGAGGAUGAUCAGUCACACUGGAACUGAGACACGGACCAGACUCCUACGGGAGGCAGCAGUGGGGAAUAUUGCACAAUGGACGGAAGUCUGAUGCAGCAACGCCGCGUGGAGGAUGACACAUUUCGGUGCGUAAACUCCUUUUAUAUGAGAAGAUAAUGACGGUAUUAUAUGAAUAAGCACCGGCUAACUCCGUGCCAGCCGCCGCCGUAA